UGGGGAAUUUUGGACAAUGGGCGCAAGCCUGAUCCAGCCAUGCCGCGUGCGGGAAGAAGGCCUUCGGGUUGUAAACCGCUUUUGUCAGGGAAGAAACGCUCUGGGCUAAUACCCUGGGGUAAUGACGGUACCUGAAGAAUAAGCACCGGCUAACUACGUGCCAGCAGCCGCGGUAAUACGUAGGGUGCAAGCGUUAAUCGGAAUUACUGGGCGUAAAGCGUGCGCAGGCGGUUAUGCAAGACAGAUGUGAAAUCCCCGGGCUCAACCUGGGAACUGCAUUUGUGACUGUAUAGCUAGAGUACGGUAGAGGGGGAUGGAAUUCCGCGUGUAGCAGUGAAAUGCGUAGAUAUGCGGAGGAACACCGAUGGCGAAGGCAAUCCCCUGGACCUGUACUGACGCUCAUGCACGAAAGCGUGCGGAGCAAACAGGAUUAGAUACCCUCGUAGUCCCUGAGCGGGCUGGCAAGGCGCAU
rnacentral:rRNA from 1 species